CCUACGGGGGGCAGCAGUAGGGAAUCUUCGGCAAUGGACGAAAGUCUGACCGAGCAACGCCGCGUGAGUGAAGAAGGUUUUCGGAUCGUAAAACUCUGUUGGUAGAGAAGAACGUUGGUGAGAGUGGAAAGCUCAUCAAGUGACGGUAACUACCCAGAAAGGGACGGCUAACUACGUGCCAGCAGCCGCGGUAAUACGCAGGCCACGAGCGGUGUCCGGGUGUUUUGGGCGUAAAGCGAGCGUAGGUGGUUUAUUAGGUCUGGUGUAAAAGGCAGUGGCACAACGAUGGUAUGCAUUGGAUACUGGUAGGCUUGAGUGCAGGAGCGGAGAGAGGAAUGUGAGGUGUAGCGGUGAAAUGCGUAGAUAUAUGGAAGAACACCGAUGGCGAAAGCAGCUCUCUGGCCUGUAACUGACACUGAGGCUCGAAAGCGUGGGGAGCAAACAGGAUUAGAUACCCCAGUAGUC
rnacentral:rRNA from 1 species